GGAUGGUUCAUUUUUGUGGAGAUACAGUUAUUUCAAAUAGGGUCCAUCUUUUUUGAAAACCUUGUAUUUUAAUGAUGAUGUUUUGUUGUUUCAGCUAUAUUAUAUUGUGUUUAGAUUAUAAACUACCAUGUAUUUCAAUUUGAGGGGAAGGUAUGAUAUUAAAAGCUGCUGCUGCUGCUGAUGAUGAUGAUGAUGACGACGACAGUGGUAAUGAAUUUAAUCUUGUUUUGUCAACUUCCCUCAGUGAAGGAAAAAAUGGCCUUCGAGCUUAUUAUUGGAGUACAUUUUGGGUCCCACAAGAUGUUGCCCCUUCUAUUAAAAAUACACCUUUGGUGAAGCAAAAGAGAAUAAUUGGUAAAAGGACAUCUCCAGUCACUAAUAACACUGCUGAUCCAUUUCCUUUAGAAGAUGAUUUUGAUACUAUUACUCUGGAGCUUUUUGUUUCAGAUGCUGUAGAUUAUGAUGUGACACUGAAAUCAGGUAAGAGUUACUGCCUCUAUCCUUUGCGCCAUUCGUUUGUGCAUUAUUAUAGAAUUAAAUAUGUUUGGGUUUAAAAUCCACACUUUGAAAAAAGAACAAGGAUAGAUAUGACAUAAGUAUAUAAAACUAUGCAUGAUAUAGACGAACUAAUGAAGAGAAGGCUUUCCCACAACACUAGAACCUAGAUGCC
rnacentral:lncRNA from 11 species